rnacentral:lncRNA from 1 species
AAAUGGUCCUUCGCUAUUAAACAAAAUCAUUUUGAUGUCACUGUAAAUUUUGAAGGAAAAAAAAGAAGGUUGAAGCUGUAAAUUUUUGCAAUUAAAUAGAAGUUANNNNNNNNNNNNNNNNNNNNNNNNNNNNNNNNNNNNNUGAUAAGAAAAUGAGAAGAGAGAAAUAUGUGAGAGAGAGUGUGAGAAGAGAGAAAUAGAUGAGAAAUAUAGUAGAUUUGAUGUGUUGAUUGGUUUAACAGAAAAAAGAAAAGAUAUAGAAGAGAGAGAAGUGUGUUUAAUUUUUUAAAAGACCAAAAUAUCCUUGCAUUUUAAUUGAGUUUAUGUGUAAUGCAGGAUUUAGAUUGCUGUAAAUGAAGUUAAACUCUUCUUUGUAAAAAUGUCACGGUAUAAGCAAUGGAAGGGCAUUAUAAAUAAUAUCAUGGGUAAAAAUGCAUUUGUAAAUUAGAUGAAAAGGCAUUAUCCCGAAAUGUCACGAGUAAAAAUGCGUUUGUAAAUUUAUUGACUUAUAAAUAAUAUAUUUUAUUUUAAGCUGAAAAAUUAAAAUUUUAAUUGUUAAUAGAAGAUAAUUAAUGACAACUACAUGAAUAUUUACAAUCUUAUAUAAUUUAAUAAUAAAAAUAUCACUUUGUGAUAAAAACUAACAGUAAAAUUUAUGUAUAAUGUCAUAGAUAUUUUUAGACAACUACAUGAAUAUUUACAAUCUUAUUUUUUUGUAUCAUACUUAUUGUUUAUAUUAUUCUCCACUAAAAGAAUUAUAAAGUUGAUGGAAAAUAAUUUCUCUAUGGAAUAUAUGGAAGAGGCUUUGAGGUUUCGUAAAAAGCCUUUGAGGUAGAUAUGAAUUACAGGAAAACAAUGUUUGUGGAUAGAAAUAUAGACUACAAUAUAUAGGUUCUCGUUGAAAUUAAAAAAAAGUAGUCUCCCUAUUAAUAUAUAACUAAAAAUAUAGAUUCCGUAAAAAUUAUAAAAUAAAUAGGUCUUUAUAUUAAUAUAUGCAGAAGUAUAAAUAUAUGUUAUCGUAGAAAUUACAAUAAAAAAAAUAGGCCCCUAUUGAUGUAUGUUGUAAUUUUUUUAUGCUUGUCCAACUCAAAUUAGGGUUAUAUUUCACUUUGAUUUCUUGGAAAACACUACCCCUCGAGUGAUUUCUAUGUAAUUGUUUUUGUUUUGGGCUUUUAGGCCUCCUUAAUAUAUAUAAAAAAAUUGUCAUCAUAUUAAUAUGAAUAAAAAUAUAGAUUUCAUAAAAAUUACAAAAAAAAAAUAUGGGUCUUCGUAUUAAUAGAUAUAUAAGUUUUCGUAGAAAUUACAAAAAAAUAGUCCUUCAUAUUAACAUGAGUAGAAAUACAAACUAUAAUAUAUAUUACAAAAAUAGAAUAGAUCCUGUAAUAAUGUAUGAAUCUAUAGAUUUCUUUAGUGUCAUAAUUAAUGCAUAUUAAUUUAUUUUGUUGGGUGAGAAUGCAUAUUUUUGUAUACUUGUUAUUUUCUUUUGUAAAAAAACUAUACUAUGUGUUUUUCUUUGUGUUCCCAAUUUUGUGUUAGUGCAAUAUUAAUACGCUAGCUAUAUAUUAUUUCUAUAUUUGACUUGAGCAAUUGAGUGACAAUGAAACUUUUUUUUAUCGAAUGUGGCAGUGAAACUUCUAAAUAAUAUUACACGUACAAAACAAAAAUUUACACACAUAAACUUUAAUUUUGUCUGUUUAAUUACCUUUUUCCGUUUUUUUCUUCAUGUUUUCCUUAUAUAAACNNNNNNNNNNNNNNNNNNNNNNNNNNNNNNNAAACACUUCUUUCUUCAUGUUUCCCUUAUAUAAACUUUUUGGACAAAAUAUCCAAAUUUCCAUGUUACAACUAUAAGAUCAACCAAAAGUGACAAACACACAAAACUAAUUAAAUGAUAAGUCAAAUUUCAAUCGACUCUAUAUCAUAUUCAUUUGAACAAUAAAAAUUGUAUUUCAGGUAAACAUUUCAAAACUCUAAUUAAUUCAAAUUUAAUUACAAUAAAAUCAAUAGUUUAUGAAUCUUGAAACUGCAAAUAUAAUAUUGAAAGUACCAAAGAUAAACCUUGAAUCAUCUGCAAAAAAGAAAAAAGUUGGAUCAAAUAAAUCACAUUAAAGUUUUGAAAGAAAUUAACAAUAAAGAUUAACUAACCAAAUAGAAAAGAAUAAAGGAGUCUGAGAAAUUAUAUCGCCUUUUCUCCUCUUUGGUGGUCUUCUCUAAAUAAAUAAAAAAUAAUACGGAAAAUAAUUCUAACCUAAUAAAAAAUAAAUCAAUUUUCUCCUCAAUUGCAAUUAUCUUGAUCUUAAUUGAGUCAUUUCACAUUCUUUCUACAUAUCUGCAAAUGAAAUAUAACAGAUGAUUAAAUCCAAUAUAAAACAUGAUAUUGACAAAAUCAUAAUAAAAAUAAAAAAAUCGGGAGUAAAUACUGAUAAAAAAAAAUACAUCAUAUAUUUGCAAGAAAAAUAAGAUAUGAGAAUAAAAAA